rnacentral:rRNA from 1 species
AUUGAACGCUGGCGGCAGGCCUAACACAUGCAAGUCGAGCGGAUGAAGGGAGCUUGCUCCUGGAUUCAGCGGCGGACGGGUGAGUAAUGCCUAGGAAUCUGCCUGGUAGUGGGGGAUAACGUCCGGAAACGGGCGCUAAUACCGCAUACGUCCUGAGGGAGAAAGUGGGGGAUCUUCGGACCUCACGCUAUCAGAUGAGCCUAGGUCGGAUUAGCUAGUUGGUGGGGUAAAGGCCUACCAAGGCGACGAUCCGUAACUGGUCUGAGAGGAUGAUCAGUCACACUGGAACUGAGACACGGUCCAGACUCCUACGGGAGGCAGCAGUGGGGAAUAUUGGACAAUGGGCGAAAGCCUGAUCCAGCCAUGCCGCGUGUGUGAAGAAGGUCUUCGGAUUGUAAAGCACUUUAAGUUGGGAGGAAGGGCAGUAAGUUAAUACCUUGCUGUUUCGACGUUACCAACAGGAUAAGCACCGGCUAACUUCGUG